CAGCGGCGGAAGCGGCAGCAUGGUCCCGGCCUCCGCACCGCCCUGGCUCCCGGAGAGCCCCGAAUACUACGAGAGGCUGCGCCGCCUCCAGCUCGAGCUGCGGGACAGUGAAAAGAAGAGAUUGGAGCUGGAAAAGAAACUUUAUGAAUAUAGUCAGUCUAAUAUAUACAGAGUUAAGCUGAAGUAUGUAAAACUAAAGAAAUACCUGAAGGAAAUAUGUGAAUCAGAAAAGAUGGCUCAUACUCGAAACCAAGAAUAUUUAAAACAGUUUGAGUAUUUCCAAGCUCAUAUUGGACACUUUACCACCACAAGUACAGAGAAGCUUCAAGAACUAAAGAUUGAAUAUGAGGCUCAAUUUAAGAAGAUGCAGCUACUUUCAAAAGAUAGCCUGGGAAUAAAAGGUGAACUGAAAAAUGAAGACAGAGAAAAGGUUGCAGUGCAGGCAGGAAUUAACUCAGAAACAGCCAUGUCAAGAGGAUUGUAUCAACCAGCAACAAGCUUUAUGGGCCGCCAAAUGUCAGCCGUCUCAAGCAUUGGAGAUUUCAGUACAGAGCAGAAAUCUCCCCAACCCACAAAGAACUUUUCAAUUCCUGACCCACAUUCACACCAACAGACAGCCCAGAACUGUAAUGUGACAGACAGCUAUGUAGUACAAACUAAUAGUGACACAGAGUGCUUAAAUAAGUCUGACAAAAUAGAUGGAAAGACGUCUCUUCAGAUUGGUGAGAAAAUGCUAGUCACAGCCAGCGUUCUGUCUGAGGAGGAACAAACUCAUUGCCUGGAGAUAGGAAGCAACACACGUCAUGGCAAGAGUAAUUUAUCUGAAGGCAAAAAUUCUGCUGAACUUCAUUCCCCGUUACAGGAAAGAUUAAGUCCAGAGAACAGAACCACUGAUUUAAAGUGUGACAGUUCCAGCAGAUCAGAGGGAUCGGAGAGAGAAAUACUGACACAAGAACAUAUUGAAGUCAAGGAAGGAAGAGCCAGACCGCCUGCCUCUCCGCUAUCAGUCUCGGAGUACUGUGCACCUGAAAACAAGUGUUCUCAAGACAAGCAUUCCGCUGGGGAAGUUUUCUCAGAUCAUCUUCCUCAUGCAGACCCAGAGUCACAGAAGCCCUUCCGAAAAAUGCAGGAAGAGUGGGAGGAGGACAGUUUGAACAGCAGCAGUGACCUCACCGUUUCUGUAAGUGAAGAUGAUCUGAUUUUAAAGAGCCUGGAACCACAACCAAAUCCAGGUGACAAGAUGGAGGGAGAAGAUGGAAUAGAGGCCUUAAAAUUAAUCCGCUCCGAGCAAGAAAGAGAUGCCCCAUCCACUGAAAAACAUAAUUGUAUUUUGCAAACCCUAAGCUCUCCUGGUUCAGAAAAGGAAUCCUCUACUAACUCACCAAGACAGCUCUAUAAUCACAGUGACAUUCCAAAAGAAGACCUUGAAGACUUCGAAGCAGCUGUCCUUCCCCAGCUUCUGAGACUCUCCCCAGGGGGUGGCAGCGAUGGAAAGCAAGUCAGAUCUGACCAAGCACCGGCCUCAGGCUUAUUAGGGGCACCAUUGAGUCAGGGUGUUGCCACCUUGAAAGAACAUUAUAAUUCUGUCGAAGAAGAGAUAGCUAAACUGUCUGAAGUUUUCCCAGUCAACAAUGUGGACCAGAGGACAAAGGCAACAGCAUUAUUGAAAAGAGCCCUUACAGAAGAGGGUGAAGAUAAGUCGGCCAUUCACAGUAAUGAAUCAUCUUGCAGCUUGCCAUCCAUUCUGAAUGACAAAAGUGAAAUAAAGGAAGCAAAAUACGCUCCGUGGUUCAACAGAGUCCUUACCUGGGAACAAGAAGUUUCAAGCACCUGCAGAGAUGAGAGCAAGGAAGAAAGCAUGGCAGCAAAUGUUCCAAUCACAGAAACAAAGGUCUACCAGUGGCUGAAGCAGUCUGCCCUUCAGGAUAAUGCAGAUCAAACUGAGGACAGACUCCAAAAGGACGCUUCUGCCUCACAGCUUCCAGGUUUGAACAUUGGCGGUGGUACAUUGAAGACGACAACUAACAAAAUCACAUCGGAAACUAGUUUUUCAUCUAGCGAAAGAAGUCCUUUGUCAAGUCAUGAAAACAAAAAGAAACUAACUACCAACUUAAAGUCUAAAGAGUGAAGAACAGAGGGAGAUCAAGGUGGAGAGGCAGCUCAGUGAGGUGGUAUCAGACCUAAUAAAAUACCCAGCCUUCUGGGGUGAGUCUGAUGACACCAACUCAGAAAUUGAAGCUGCUUUACGUCCUAGAGACCAUAGCACAUCCACGGA